ACUUACUACAGCAGCACAGACUAAAACUGGAACAAUACAGAGAAAGUUAGCAUGGCAUUUAGACAGGAAUGACAUACAAAUUUGAGAAGCGUUAGAUAUUUUU